CGGGUACCCUCUGGGUGGUGUGGGGCUGGUUUCCCCCAACAGUAAACAAGAUGAGUCUUCUUGGAAGAAGAAACUGAGUUUAACCCUGAAUACUUGACCUACAAGGCUUGGUUGCUGGGCUAAUUCAUAGUGAAGAGGAUCACGCUAUUCAACGUACAGACACAGAGCAGCUGCCAAGGCCUCAAGUUAGAGUGGAUUCUAUCAUCUCUGAAAAUGGGAUCUGUAAUGCCAUCUUGAGGUGUUCUGUGGAGGAAGGAGGAGAGACCAUCACAUAUGAGUGGACAUCAAUGGGACCAGGGGCUGCUGUGUCCCACGUGGGGUCAGUCCUCUAUGGCUCCUGAAGCCUUCAUGACCUGGAUUGGAUCUACACUUGCACAGCUCUGAAUCCUGUUAGCUACAGCAACUCUACUCUUACCCUUGCUGCACAGCUUUGUGCAAGUUCCAAGGCAGCUGAAGGCACCUAUUGCCCAGUGAAAUGGAUUUUCCUGGGGAACAGGCUUCUUCUCCUUGUGUUCCUUGGUGUCCUACGAACUUGGCAUAUUCAGGCACAGGUGCUCAGCAAACCCUUGAGGCCUAACUCAGGGUAAUAAGAGGCCACCAGUACCCCAGGAGAGCCAGGCUGUGCCCAACUGAGGCCAUUACUUUUCUGUGGCUCAACUAAAUUACAUUUAUUGACCCGUACUCUUUUCAAGGUGAAGUACUAUGGAUUGUCAAAGGCCAUUGGGAUAAAUUUUUUUAUUUUGUCAUGUCUGAGCCCAUGUACAUGCUUAUUUUUUUUUUUUAAAAGAAGAAGUUUGGUCAAGAAGAGAUAAAAUAACUGCACGAACACCAUAUGUUAUCUAUUCUAAGCAUAUUUUUUCUCCACAAUUUAAGGUUUCUGAAAUCAAGAUAAGUCAUAAUAUAAAUGUAUACAGCUAAAAGGAAUAGGGUGUUUUUCUCCCAAAAUAUCAUUAUUAAAAUGAUCUGCUUUU
rnacentral:lncRNA from 10 species